rnacentral:lncRNA from 1 species
CCCACCCAUUAAUCAAUUCCUAAAUUUUUUAUUACAUAAAAUGAUAAAAUAACAUAUAAUUAAACAAAAACUAUAUAUAUAUAUAUAAGAAAAAAAAAAAAAAAAAAAAAAAAAAAAAAAAAAAAAAAAAAAAAAAAAAAAAAAAAAAAAAAAAAACCAGACGCAUAGUCGCACCCACCCGAGCCCCCUCCCUCUUUUCGUCCCUUUGUCUCUCUCUCUCUCCGUCCCUUUUUCCCCCAUCCCAUCUUCUUGAGUUCUCCGAUUCCACCCCCCUUUCGCCAUCGACCCCUCCUUCGAGAGGUUUCUUAAGUCUAGGUUAUGCGAUGCUAAUCAGACUAAGCUCAUUGAUUGCGCUCUCCAAUUGGGCUAUGCGCUCUGCGAGAAAACGAGCCUCCAAGCACAACUCUCUCACCUGGGCUCUCCCUCUAGACGUCCCUCCAAGAACAAUUUGUAUAUAUUGAUAGGGAUGGGAAACUGGGAGGAGAGUGGGACGGGGAGAGAGAGCGGGAUGAAGAGAGGGAGGGUGCUCUGGUGAGGAAGAGGUGGGGGCGCCGCUGUCGCGAACACAUUCAGACCAUGAGUCGACGC